UACGUAGGGUGCGAGCGUUGUCCGGAAUUAUUGGGCGUAAAGAGCUCGUAGGCGGCCUGUCGCGUCGGUUGUGAAAGCCCGGGGCUUAACCCUGGGUCUGCAGUCGAUACGGGCAGGCUAGAGUUCGGUAGGGGAGAUCGGAAUUCCUGGUGUAGCGGUGAAAUGCGCAGAUAUCAGGAGGAACACCGGUGGCGAAGGCGGAUCUCUGGGCCGAUACUGACGCUGAGGAGCGAAAGCGUGGGGAGCGAACAGG
rnacentral:rRNA from 1 species